GACGAACGCUGGCGGCGUGCUUAACACAUGCAAGUCGAACGGAAAGGCCCUGCUUUUGUUGGGUUCUCGAGUGGCGAACGGGUGAGUAACACGUGAGUAACCUGCCCUUGACUGUGGGAUAACUUCAGGAAACUGGGUCUCAUACCGGAUAGGAGCUCCUGCUGCAUGGUGGGGGUUGGAAAGUUUCGGCGGUUGGGGAUGGACUCGCGGGUUAUCAGCUUGUUGGUGGGGUAGUGGCUUACGAAGGCUUUGACGGGUAGCCGGCCUGAGAGGGUGACCGGCCACCUUGGGACUGAGAUACGGCCCAGACUCCUACGGGAGGCAGCAGUGGGGAGUAUUGCACAAUGGGCGGAAGCCUGAUGCAGCAACGCCGCGUGCGGGAUGACGGCCUUCGGGUUGUAAACCGCUGUCGCCUGUGACGAGGCGUGCGUGACGGUAAUGGGUAAAGAAGCACCGGCUAACUACGUG
rnacentral:rRNA from 1 species